AAUGCUACCUUACAGGUGUCACAGGUGUGGCUACUUUACUAUGUCUGUGUCAUUGGGUGGCAGAAAGAAAGUGGCUUUGUCUACGCUCAGUGUUCAAAACCCCGUGAGCACUCAGAAUGGUUAAUGGCCCGACACAU